GGAUCAACAAAGAUACAAUUUGUCUUUCCCCUCUCAAUUUACGUCACCCAAACCUAGAGGCCCCCAUUUUAAACAAAAUCAAAUCCAAUCCUUUACAAAUCAAACAGAAGCCCAUGAAAUCCCACAUCGACCAGAUUCCCCCUAGGUCAAUUCACAUAGGUAUAUAAACAUACUUGAAAACAAAGAAGCGAUUACAGGGAUUGAUAGCUAAAGACUUACUGAAGAGUGGGAACAAUGCC
rnacentral:misc_RNA from 1 species